rnacentral:lncRNA from 1 species
AUGCCAGGCAUUUUACAAUUAUUAUCUAAUUUGAUCAUCACAACAACCCCUCGAGGUGGACUCUAUUAUUAUUCCCAUUUUAUAGAUGAGGAAACUGAAUCAAACAGAAGUUAAGUGACUUAUCCAGGUCAUAUAGCAAGGAAAUACCCAAGACCAAAUUUGGACUCAGGUUUUCUUGAUUCCUGGAGGCAGCUAGGCGGCUCAGUAGAUACAGCACUGGGUCUGGAGUCAGGGAAGACCUGAGUUCAAAUCUAGCCUCAGCCACUUCCCAGCUAUGGGACCAUGGGCAAGUCAUUUAACCUCUGUCUGCCUUAAUCCACUGCAGAAGGAAAUGGCAUAAGACUCCAGUAUCUUUGUCACAAAAACCCCACGAUCAGUGCGGUUCACAAGAUCACAAAAAAUCAAACAUGACUGAACUGAACAACAACAGGGACGGCUUCCUAAUUCCAGGCCCAGUGUGCACUCCACUGAACCACCUAGCUGCCUCUAGAAAGCAGGAGAUCGUCUUAGGAGCCACAUGAAGGCUAGAUCAGAGAGGUGAGAGACUGGAAGCUGCUCCCCCAGCUGAAAAAACAGUAGUCCUCUCCAAAGAAGGAGAUGUCAGUUUGAUGUAAGGAAACACGAUCCCACUGAGGAAUGGCCUACGCUGCGAAGGAGGGCUGAUUCCCCUGCACAUCCAGUUUCUCCAGCACAAGCCAACUGACCCCCUGCUGGGCGUGAAGCUCGAGGCAGGCCGCUCAUUAGGCUUGGGCUACGUGGGCUCACAGGGCCUUCCCAGUAAGCAGCACAUCAAUCCACCAUUACGCUUCUCUACCACAAAGCUCCAGCCCUACCCUGCAGACCCUGGAAAGCAGCCGCAGAGAAGUCUUUGAUCAAGACAGAGUCGUUCAAACUUUGGUCCUUGGUCCACAGGCCUCCAAACCCGAGUCUGAGACCAUUCACCACUCCAUCAUGGAUCUCCAAAGGCAUUGGUCUCUUCCACAGACUUCCAUCUGAAGAGUUCCUGGAGUCUGCAGGACCAAGAUCCCGAAGGCAUCUCCGCCCUGCCCCAGACUGGCCAGUCUAACCAUACUAACCUGAACUCCCCAAGACCAAGACUGUCCACAGCAUCUUCUCCAGCGACCCACAAGCAAAGUGAGGGUGUCUGUGGUUGGACCAAGAACCCUAAAGGCAUCUUCGCUGCUGACCCAUAUCCAUGUGAGUCAACUGAGAGUCAGAUAGAGGUCUGCAAAGGGACUGAGAGGCUCGAUCUGUGCCUAAACUGACUACCAAAGGUUGUGUCUAACCCCGGCAGGACCCAGGGAGCAGAAUCCAAGAAAUC